UUGGUGUGUGCGAGUUUGUGGCCAAGAAGUUAGUGGAGGACAACUCGAUAGGGGAUCUGAAGAAACAGGAGGAGCAGUUUGAGCAGCUGGACUUUUCCAACCAGUCCAGACUGUACAGACAUAGAAUACUAUUCCUAGAGGACGAACAGGUCAAACUAGACGACACAGCCACUCUACUAUACCCUCUCACCAACUUUAUAGCGACACACCACAAAUGUGUGAGCGUGGACCACGAGCGAUUCGGCUACCUCGUGAUCACGAAAACCGACGAGAAUGGGAAGAAGAAACGACAGACAUUCAACGACUCGGGUCGCCUGGAGUACAGCGAGAUCAACCCCAAGUGUAAGGACUGUAUUCUCCAGUACGGUCAGAAGUCCAGGGGUACUCUGGCUGACUUGGAAAAAGAGGGCGCGUUCGAAUACUUAAAGAAAAAGUUCGAAACAAGCAAGGCAAAAGCGAAACCAGCCAAGAAGUAAACAGACAUUUACAUGCUGACUUUUUGAAAUAAGACAAAAUAUGAUUUCGAAAAUGCUUUUGAUUAAAAUUAACUAAUCA